ensembl:lncRNA novel transcript
AGGAGGCUUCUGCCUGGAAACAGUAGGCGGUGGUGUGUGUGGUGGAUCCUUCACCAGUGGUUAAUCUUCUUGAUGCUGAUCUGAUAUCCCAUCAGGGCCCUGGAUCCCAAGACUCAGCAUCCAAGGUCCCCUCCAGGAAUCCUGGCAGCUCAGCAUACUUUAUCCUGUUUCAUCUGAGAGCAAAAAUGUAAAAUUGGAUGCACAGAAAAGUGACUCAAAGUGCUUAAUGACUAGAAGAAAUCUAGGAGCAGCAAGAAGAGCAGGACAAACAGGCCAGGCGGUGUCAGGAGCCCAGGUCUCCAGCUGGAGGGAACGUCAACCCUGCGGUGGGAGUAGGGGCCCUUUGCACAUCCUAGGCACAGAUGGUAAUGUAGACACCACAGAUCAUAAAGGAGAACAGCAAGAGGUCCCCAGCAAACAUCCACAGAUGGCCUUGGAACCUCACCCUGCAGGAAUGCCAGUGAACAUACUGCUGACAUCUUGGAGCUCAGUACCCUCAUAGUGUAACGGCGUCAGUAGAUCUGCCUGUGCUUGGACUUCCUGUACUACCCAUUCCUGAGGGGCGAUGCUUCUGCAGGGCCUGUGACUUGGUGCACAACUUCAGACACCAUCAUCUUGCAGCAGCACCGCACCCUCACUAGCCAGGGUGUUGAUGACUUCCUCAAGGCCAAGGCCACAUUCAAGGCUUCGGACUUUAUUGAUGCGCUUGUGCUGAGCAAGGUGGCUUCUCCAGGAUCUUAAUUCAGGAGCCUCAGUGUAUGGGCGCUGUUCAUCCUCUGGUGCUGAAGCAGCCAAGAGACCCAAGUCUGCCUGGCUGCCUCUUAGGAUAUGACAGCAGAGCCAGUGGCCUCUACUAGAUCCUGUACAACCUCACAAAACACCCAGACAUCGGGAGUGCUGCCAGCCUGUGAUGCAAGAGUCCUAAUCCUGAAGACAUUGAAUGACCUGUCAUUCUGCUGUUUUUACCAAAAAGGAUCAUGAGGAUCAGAGAGGAAAAGUCACUUGCCCAAAGUCACACAGCUGAACAGUGGUGGAGUUCAACUUUGACCAUGGGCUGUCUGGCCCCAAGGUGUAUGCUUGCUUCUCUCCCAAGAGACUCCUUUCUUAUCAGGCUCAAAUGAAUGAAAGGAGGAUGUUAAAGUUCCUAGAAGCUUUAAUUGAAUGAAAGUUCCUAGUAGAUCUGUACCUACUAAAAACCACACUUCUGAAGCUACGUGGCCACCAGAAGACACAGCUAGUCUGCCAUGUAAAAAAGGAAAGGUGGCGUGUGCCCUGAAGGCGCAGGGGUGAGAGGCAGGGAAAUGGAGACCCCAACAGCCAGCAUCAGUGGCCCUCAUCACAGCCCUCCAGGAGAUAUCAAAGGAGGUCAGACCUUGGACAGUAGUCUUGACUUCCUGCUAUAGAACACAUUGUUAACACUGAAAAAGAUGAUCUGUUCUAGGGGAAUGGUGAAAGCUGACUCUAGCACUUGUGCUUUUUGUUUGUUUGUUUGAGAUUUGAGUCUUGCUCUUGUUUCCCAGGCUGCAGUGCAAUGCGUGAUCUCAGCUCACUGCAGGCUCUGCCUCCUGGGUUCCAGCUAUUGUCCUGCCUCAGCCUCCCGAGUAGCUGGGAUUCCAGGUGCCCGCAAGUGUGCCUGGCUAAUUUUUAUGUUUUUAGUAGAGAUGGGAUUUCGCCAUCUUGGCCAGGCUGUUCUCCACCUCCUGACCUUGGCCAAAGUGUUGGGAUUACAGGCAUAAGCCAUUGUGCCAGGCCUGUGUUUUUAAUUUCAUCAUGGCACAGCUUCAAAAUGACAUCUAAGUAGCUGACAUAAAAAUGAAAAUUCUGUGUACUUUGAUAUUAGCAGGCUUCAAAUACAAACCAGAAUAUGAGUAAA